rnacentral:rRNA from 1 species
UACGGAGGAUCCAAGCGUUGUCCGGAUUUAUUGGGUUUAAAGGGUGCGUAGGCGGAUCUUUAAGUCAGUGGUGAAAUCCUGCAGCUUAACUGUAGAACAGCCAUUGAAACUGAAGAUCUUGAAUUUGGUUAAAGUAGGCGGAAUGUAUCAUGUAGCGGUGAAAUGCUUAGAUAUGAUACAGAACACCGAUAGCGAAGGCAGCUUGCUGAACCAAUAUUGACGCUGAGGCACGAAAGCGUGGGGAGCGAACAGG